AUUGAACGCUGGCGGAAUGCUUUACACACGCAAGUCGAACGGCAGCACGGGGGCAACCCUGGUGGCGAGUGGCGAACGGGUGAGUAAUACAUCGGAACGUGCCCAGUCGUGGGGGAUAACGUAGCGAAAGUUACGCUAAUACCGCAUACGAUCUCAGGAUGAAAGCGGGGGACCGUAAGGCCUUGCGCGAUUGGAGCGGCGGAUGUCAGAUUAGGUAGUUGGUGAGGUAAAGGCUCACCAAGCCUGCGAUCUGUAGCUGGUCUGAGAGGACGACCAGCCACACUGGGACUGAGACACGGCCCAGACUCCUACGGGAGGCAGCAGUGGGGAAUUUUGGACAAUGGGCGCAAGCCUGAUCCAGCCAUUCCGCGUGCAGGACGAAGGCCUUCGGGUUGUAAACUGCUUUUGUACGGAACGAAAAGCCUUGGGCUAAUACCCCGAGGUCAUGACGGUACCGUAAGAAUAAGCACCGGCUAACUACGUGCCAGCAGCCGCCGUAA
rnacentral:rRNA from 1 species